GAUGAACGCUGGCGGCGUGCCUAAUACAUGCAAGUCGAGCGAACAGACGAGGAGCUUGCUCCUUCGACGUUAGCGGCGGACGGGUGAGUAACACGUAGGUAACCUACCUAUAAGACUGGGAUAACUUCGGGAAACCGGAGCUAAUACCGGAUAAUAUUUCGAACCGCAUGGUUCGAUAGUGAAAGAUGGCUUUGCUAUCACUUAUAGAUGGACCUGCGCCGUAUUAGCUAGUUGGUAAGGUAACGGCUUACCAAGGCAACGAUACGUAGCCGACCUGAGAGGGUGACGGCCCACACGGGAACUGGAACCCGGCCGGCACUCCUGGGGGGGGCGCCGGUGGGGAUCUUCCCGAAAUGGGGGAAAGCCGGCCGGAGCACCGCCGGGUGAGUGAGGAGGGUCUUCGUACCGAAAAACUUUUUUAUGGGGAAAAAAAAAACGGGAAAGAACGUGUGCCCGUCUUGACGGUCCCUAAUAAAAAGGCCCCGGCAAACUACGUC
rnacentral:rRNA from 1 species